CAGCAGCCGCGGUAAUACGGAGGGAGCUAGCGUUGUUCGGAAUUACUGGGCGUAAAGCGCACGUAGGCGGUUAUUCAAGUCAGAGGUGAAAGCCCGGGGCUCGACCCCGGAACUGCCUUCGAAACUAGAUGACUGGAAUCUUGGAGAGGUCAGUGGAAUUCCGAGUGUAGAGGUGAAAUUCGUAGAUAUUCGGAAGAACACCAGUGGCGAAGGCGACUGACUGGACAAGUAUUGACGCUGAGGUGCGAAAGCGUGGGGAGCAAACAGGAUUAGAUACCCGCGUAGUCCCUGUCUCUUAUAC
rnacentral:rRNA from 1 species